GGUAAUACGUAGGGUGCGAGCGUUAAUCGGAAUUACUGGGCGUAAAGCGUGCGCAGGCGGUUUUGUAAGACAGAUGUGAAAUCCCCGGGCUCAACCUGGGACCUGCAUUUGUGACUGCAAAGCUAGAGUACGGCAGAGGGGGAUGGAAUUCCGCGUGUAGCAGUGAAAUGCGUAGAUAUGCGGAGGAACACCGAUGGCGAAGGCAAUCCCCUGGGCCUGUACUGACGCUCAUGCACGAAAGCGUGGGGAGCAAACAGGAUUAGAUACCCUGGUAGUCCACGCCCUAAACGAUGUCAACUGGUUGUUGGGUCUUCACUGACUCAGUAACGAAGCUAACG
rnacentral:rRNA from 1 species